rnacentral:lncRNA from 1 species
GUUAUUUGAUACCUCAAACUGAUAUACAAAUAAUAAUAAUUUUGUAGUUUAUGGUAUGGAGAGGUUCAAUCGCACUGUUUUCACCUUAAAACAAAGAAUUAUAUAACUUAAUGAUAUCUGUAAUGUCUGCAUUGGACGAUUAUACAGGUUUUAACAAAAGGCAUUGACUAACACAUAACACCAUUGAAGGUAUGAUCUUUAACACAGC